AGUGAACGCUGGCGGUAGGCCUAACACAUGCAAGUCGAACGGCAGCACAGUAAGAGCUUGCUCUUACGGGUGGCGAGUGGCGGACGGGUGAGGAAUACAUCGGAAUCUACUUUUUCGUGGGGGAUAACGUAGGGAAACUUACGCUAAUACCGCAUACGACCUACGGGUGAAAGCAGGGGAUCUUCGGACCUUGCGCGAUUGAAUGAGCCGAUGUCGGAUUAGCUAGUUGGCGGGGUAAAGGCCCACCAAGGCGACGAUCCGUAGCUGGUCUGAGAGGAUGAACAGCCACACUGGAACUGGGACACGGGCCAGACUCCUACGGGAGGCAGCAGUUGGGAAUAUUGGACAAUGGGCGCAAGCCUGAUCCAGCCAUACCGCGUGGGUGAAGAAGGCCUUCGGGUUGUAAAGCCCUUUUGUUGGGAAAGAAAAGCAGCAGGUUAAUACCCCGCUGUUCUGACGGUACCCAAAGAAUAAGCACCGGCUAACUUCGU
rnacentral:rRNA from 1 species